CUUUCGUGAUCUGCUUAGUGUUUAGGAAGGACUGGCCGAAUCAUGAACAAUUGUUUGCCAGCUUAUAGGUGUGGCCUUCUGAAAAAAAGAUGCUGUAGGUGAUUGCAUGAAUAAAAUAGCAGCUGAGUAGUUAUUUUUCUUGUGAAAAGGCAACAACAGAAAUUGGCUUGUUGCAGGUUCAUCAGGAACUAUGUUGAUGUAACAGACGAAUCUGGAAGAAAACACUGAAGCUUUUUCACCUAUGUUAUGCAGUGAAGGGGUUUAGUGGAAGCAGUGUUCCCACUAAACUGCACCAUUGCACACAUUUUUAGCUCUGACGGAGCAGGGCUGUAAUGAGUUAAACCUAUAUAUGUGUGUUCCUUUAAUUCAGGGGUGGCCAACCUUGAUUAACAUAAGAGCCACAAGACAUAAACAUGUUUGAGAGCCGCAAGACAUAAACAUCAGAUGCUUGAGAACUGCAGGAAAGAAGGAAGGAAAUAGAUGGGGGAGAUAGUAAGAAACCAACUUUAAAUGCAUGCACCUUUAAGUGCUGCCAGUUGGCUAGGCUUGGAGAAGUGAUUUAAAGAGACAGAUGCCUUCUCCAAGCCAGGCAGUGGGGGCUUCAAGAGCCACACAAUAUGUAUGAAAGAGCCACGUGUGACUCCUGAGUCACAGUUUGGCCAUCCCUGCUUUAAUUGUUGGUAAGUUGCAGCAGAGAAAGGGGAUGAAAGGGGGAUAAAUGAGUGAAGUGAUUGGCUGGUGACUGAAGGUUGUGGGAGGAGAGAAGUCAGUCAGUGGUUAACUCAGCAGAGUGGCAGCAGUUUUGAGUGUCUGCUAUGGUCAAACAGUCCAUAGAGCUUGAAACCGCACUCUUCUGGUUAGAAACCCAUUUAGUGCUGUGAAAGGCAUUAAAAGUUUUUUAAGAAGAGAUUGAUAAUACUAAGAGGACAUAGUGGCAAAAGAGUCAACUGUCAAAAUAUUAUAAGAGUGAAAGAAGCUGACAAAGUUUUAGAAGGAAUUGAGAGGAGUGCUAAUGAAAAGAAUGUGUGACGCCUCAGUAGAACACAGCCCAGUGGCACCUUUAAGAGCAAAGUUUUAUUCAAAAUGUGAGUUUUCGUGUGCUAAAAGCACACUUCAUCAGACAGUAGUAUGGAAUGGAAUUAGCAGUCCUACAUAUAGGGAGCGGGGAGUGAGUUUUGUUUGCAGACUCAACUUACGCGAGCAAAGCAGAGAUUUAGAAUCCACCUGACUACAGUGUUUCUAUGGAAACCACCUUUUAAAAUGUGGUUCUUGGGAAUUGGCUGGGAUGUUGAAUGACAAAAUAACUUUCUACACAGUGCAGUCUACCAUGUUAAUGGCUGCUAAUAAACAGGGUUGAAAAUACCUAGAAAUAUGAGGGGGGUCUUGUUUCCAAUCUGGAAUUUUAGCUGUGAAUGCCUUAUACAGUUGCAUUCUAUUUGACCAAUUUUCUGUGAGAGAAACUACCUAACAUUUGGGGAACAUAGCAUUUCUGGGUAGCUGAGUGUACAAGGAAGAGGGCUUUUACUGUAGCAGCCACUAGAAGCAACAGUGUUGGAAUAGAAGGAAGGCAGGCCACUUUGUAUCAGUUACUCUGCUAGUCUUUCCUCUGUAAAAUAAUAUGAAUACCUACCUCAUAGGUUUGUUAUGCAGAUGAAUAAAAUAAUGGUUACAACGA